CCUACGGGAGGCAGCAGUGAGGAAUAUUGGUCAAUGGACGCAAGUCUGAACCAGCCAUGCCGCGUGCAGGAAGACGGCUCUAUGAGUUGUAAACUGCUUUUGUACGAGGGUAAACGCAGAUACGCGUAUCUUUCUGAAAGUAUCGUACGAAUAAGGAUCGGCUAACUCCGUGCCAGCAGCCGCGGUAAUCCGGAGGAUUCAAGCGUUAUCCGGAUUUAUUGGGUUUAACGGGUGCGUAGGCGGUCGGAUAAGUUAGAGGUGAAAUCCCGAGGCUCAACUUCGGAAUUACCUCUGAUACUGUUCGGCUAGAGAGUAGUGGCGGUAGGCGGAAUGUAUGGUGUAGCGGUGAAAUGCUUAGAGAUCAUACAGAACACCGAUUGCGAAGGCAGCUUACCAAGCUACUUCUGACGUUGAGGCACGAAAGCGUGGGGAGCAAACAGGAUUAGAUACCCGGGUAGUC
rnacentral:rRNA from 1 species